rnacentral:rRNA from 1 species
UACGUAGGGACCGAGCGUUGUCCGGAAUCAUUGGGCGUAAAGAGCGUGUAGGCGGCUAUUUAAGUCCUGCGUGAAAUCCUGCGGCUCAACCGCAGACGGUCGUGGGAAACUGGAUGGCUAGAGUGCGGGAGAGGAGAGUGGAAUUCCCGGUGUAGCGGUGAAAUGCGCAGAUAUCGGGAAGAACACCAGUGGCGAAGGCGGCUCACUGGCCCGAUACUGACGCUGAGGCACGAAAGCGUGGGGAGCAAACAGG